rnacentral:lncRNA from 1 species
AAAAAGAGGAACUUUUCUAUGGAUUGAAACACCUGGGCGUUCACUCAUAUCCAAAUCCUCUCCUUCUGCUCCAUUAGGCAAUUCCCAGUCAAAUUUCUGAACAAUAUUUGCCAGAACGAGUUCGUUAGUUGCCAUUGCGAACGAGAUUCCUGGACAACCUCUUCGACCAGCCCCAAACGGGAUCAACUGGAAAUCGAGUCCUUUGAAAUCUAUUGACGAAUUUAAGAAUCUCUCCGGCUGAAACUUCUGUGGUUCUUUCCAGUAAAGAGGGUCUUGGCCAAUGGCCCAUGCAUUAGUCAUGACCAUCGUCCCUGCGGCGAUGUCAUAGCCCAUUACAUUGACAUCUUCUCUUGCUUGCCGAGCAACCAGUAGUGGGAUUGGGGUGUGGAAUCGUAGAGUUUCCUUCACUACAGCUUUCAAAUAACGCAUUUUCUCCAAGUCAGCAUCUGUUAUGUCAUGUUUGCCAUUGAGAAUUCCCCUCACCUCAUUUUGCAACUUUUUCAUGACUAUUGGGUGCCUUAAGAGUUCUGUCAUUGCCCACUCUAGAACUGUGGAUGUGGUAUCAGUUCCAGCAGCAAACACAUCCUAAAGUAAUCAAGAAAGUUAAAAAACUUAAGGCUAAGAAAAUUAAUAGUCACUUAGGAACUUGUAGGUAUAAGUUUCCUUCAAUAACAGUUUUAGCUUUUAAAUGAAGUUGUUCGAUUGUAUUACGGUUAUAUGGGAGGGAGGGGUGCUUACCAAAAUCAUGGCUUUGAUACCAUCCCUAUCAAUGGAUACACCAGUGGUAUUGUCCUUGUAAAUCUUAAGCAGAAUGUCUACAAAAUUCUCUCUACUUUCAUCCUUUCCGCUCGAAUUUUCCAUAUCCCGGUGUUCUUGAAUCACUCCUUCAAGAAACUCAUCAAGUUCUUUAGCAACAAAAUCUACUCUGGCAUCGAAACCAUUAACACGAUUAAUCCACGCCAGCCAUGGAAUGAAUUCCCCAACACUGAUAGUCCCCAAAAGUCCCAAAAAUUCAGUAAUCAGCUGCAGAAAUUUCUCCCCAGUCGCCCCGUCCCUGUAUUUCCUACCGAAAGCCGACCUACAUACAACGUCGUUUGUGAUUGCCGUAAAAAAAUCACUCAUAUUCAAUGGAGAUGAAGAAAGACACGAUUCCUUAAUUUUUUCCAUCAUCAAGGCCGUUUCUUCUUCCCUUAUAGCAUGGAAUGAUUGUACCUGUUAUGGACAGAAAUGCACUGUUAGAAAAUCUUAUCAAGUCACUCCAUGCAAUUCUAAACUCUUUAAGUACUCUCAGUUCAUGUACUAUGAGCAUAUUUGGCCUAGAAUAACGUCGUUUUUGCUUAUUUCCGGCUGUAUCAAGAGUGGUAUUGCCGAAAUAAACAGCUUCUUGUACAAAAGGAGCAAGGGUCAAUCAUGUUGUAAGAGGAACGGGAAAUAGUAACAGUACCCUUUUGUUACUCAGAAGCUGGAGUACAAAUAUGCUUUUCAAUUGCCUCCAGUAUUCUCCAUAUGGGGCAACUGACAAAUCCUUCAUGUCGUAAAGAAGCCGCCUGGAAACGCUAGAUUCGGGCCUGUCAGCGAAACUGACAUCAUGGGUUUUCAUAAUUUCCCUGGCGGCGUCCGCCGAUGAAACGAUGAGCGUCGGAACAUUUCCAAAGUGGAGAAGCAUUAAAGGGCCAUAUUUUUUGGACAUGGAUUGAAGGGACUGGUGUGGGAGCGUGCCGAUUUGGUGGAGAUUUCCGAUAAUCGGGAGUUUCGGCGGCGAUGGCGGCAGAUUUUUGCUGUUUGUAGUGGCCGCCACCCUUUUGACGAAUUGCCAUACAAGAAAUAUAGCGAUAAAAGUGAAUAUAAAUGGAUUUUGUAAAAGAAAUUCAGCCAUUUGGUGCUUAAAACUAAACAUACUUUCUGAUUGUCUGUACUCUGUUUUCUGUCCCUAAACUGUACGAGGCUCUUCUAUAUAUACAGACAAGAAUGCGCGUAAUGAGCGCCUGUAACAUAACUUAGUGGUGCAAAGGAUAGGAGUGAGAUUAUCUCACGCCUUGCUGACAGUCGCAGUGUACGGGUUUGAUUCCCGAAACAUGGAAUUGGACUUCUUGUAAGCGCAAUGUAGAAACAGCUUGGAGCACAUCCCGUGAUUUAACUCCCUCACAAAAUUCUAGGGGCGGGGUGAUGGAACCCUCAAGGUUGGGGUUCAACCUUUUUUUUUAGGAAUGCGCAUAAUGAGACUGCAUGCUUACUUUGCUAUACACUAUUACACUAUUUUAAUAUUUUUUUUUACAAUUUUUCAAUUACACAUUUAUCAAAAUCUAUUUAAAAAUUUUGUUUUAAUUCACAAACGGAGACUUAAUAUGCCUUUUAAGCCUAUUUUAUUUAGACUGGUUUGAUGUAAUUUUUUUCUUUAAAAGUAAAAUUUGAAUAAUGUGCUAUUAAAAUGUAAAAAGAAAAAAAAAUUAUUAAUUUAUAUCCAUAUUUUAUUGUGAUAAUGUGUCGUAAAAAAUGAUUAUUAAUUAUAAUAGGUGCCCAAUUUAACUUAUUCUAUUGGGUCAAGCCCCCACUCUAAAAUGUCCACACGUAUUUAUGAAAAAAUUGUCGCAAAAACCUAACGUUGUAUGUUAAGUGGUAAAAGAUGAAUAAAUAGAUAUUUGGGCUAACAGUUUAAUUACACUCAGGCAUGACUUGUAAACAUCGAAUGACAAGUCUAUUUAUACAAUUAUUUUGUACAACAUUAUUCACGGUGUUGUAAUUGUCAAAAAAAAUAUUGAUCGAAAAGAUGAAUUAUUUUUAAAAUUAUCCAAUGUGGCAUAUUGUCAAUAAUGUUGUCAAAAUCAUUAUACAUCAAGCAUGAUUGAACAUCGAAUUGGUGAAUGGCAAUAGAAAUUAAUUUAUCUGAAAAAGUAAACCACUUAUUUUCAAUCACAUAUUUUUGUUAGGUUCCAUUUCUUCUACGAAAAUAUCUUUAUUAGAAAUUUGUCUUACAAAAGGAAGAAAAACUAUGUAUAUUAAUAUUUAUAUAACUUACAAUUUUUUCAAACUUUGUCCAACUAACUAUUUAAGAUUUCGAGUUAGUUCCUGUUUGGUUUUGUUAUCACAUUUUUAUUAGGUUUUGAUAAAGUCUGGACUUGUUAAAAUUAAUUUUUGACCCUAAUUUAAAUUUGUAUUAAUUUUCUAAAAGUAAAUUAAACAUGGACUUAUCAUAGAAAGAUAAGUUCAUUUAUUUAAAUUUCAUCAUCCACACGACCUUCUCUAUUAUUAUUAUUACUGCUGCUGCUACUAAUAUUAUCGCCGUUGUUGUUAUUAUUCGUAUCAAAGAUCUACACAAUUUUUAUAACAAGAAAAUGAUAUUAUGCUUAAUUCUAUUCUUUAAAAACUCAAAUUAUCAAAAAGGAAAUCGUCCAAUUUCUUGAAAAGACAAUAUGUAACAAGAAAGUAGCUAUAGCUUCUUAAAAGUUCAUUAUCAAUUAAUAUUUUCCUAAUUUAACCAAACUAUUAAUUCAUCUAGAAUUAAUGACGAAUGAAUGGCUAGUAACACGCAAAGAGUCCUCUACGUCUAUUACAAUGGAACUAGUCCAUACUUGAUUGCAUUUGAUUAAUAUUAAUAUUUUUAUUUUUAUCAUGAUCGGAUAUGUCGAAAUUGUGGUUUAAAAUCCAAACUUCCCUACCUCUCCUACUGUCGAAAUUGUGGUGUACAAUCACCCCCCGGGGCGUAGUGUAGUGGUGUAAAGGACAGGAGUGAGGUUAUCUCACGUCUUGCUGGAAGCCGCAGUGUAGAGGUUCGAUUCCUGAAACAUGGAAUUGGACUCCUUAUAGGCGCAGUGUACAGGCAGCUCUUGUUCCCUGGCUUGUUGGGGCACAUCCCGUAAUUUACCUUCCUCACAAAAUUCUAGGAGCGGGAUGAGGCGGUGAGAACCCUCAAGAUUGGGGUUCAACCUUUAAAAUUGUGGUGUACAAUCUUUUUGCAAGGGGCUGUACGGGGCAGUACGCAGCAGCCUAAUUCAAUAAAAAUUCCACAUAUGGACAAAGAGUACCAUAAAUCAAGGAGUUGGGGGCCUGAGGUGGUUGGAAAACAAAUAGAAGAGACAUGGGAGUUGGGACCUGAUAUACAAAUUUAUGGAACAUAGACAAAAGGGGACAAAUUAUUUUAUCAGUAUUCUCAAGGAAAUAGGAUGUUGACUGAAUCACAAAUCCCCCAGUUGAUUUUAAGAAUUAAAAUUUCAUCACACGCUUUCUUGGUUGAUAUUUUUCUUAAAUCUUUUGCCACCUAGUGUUUGUUCACUUCUGUGUCCGGACGGCUCAAUUUGCGUCUCAGUUGACUUGAUAGCGUCCCUCUUCGGGCAGCUGCUUCUUUAUUUGUCCGUCCGAACUUUUCUCCAACUAACGGAAAUAAAAAAAGGAGAGGAAGAAAAAUGAAUCGAUUAAGAAACAUUAAAAACACGGACUAGAAUUUGCCAUGCAUUUCAGACUUUAGAUUAAAAUGUUUUAAAUCUUGUAUGAAUCCUUCAAACAUGGAGUGUAGAUGUUAGUUCACAUUUACAUCUAGCCCAUGUUUUGAAAAUUUUUAUUUUUAUUUUUACUUUUAUUAUUAUUAUUUUUCAAAUCUUACGCAUUUUAUGAAAUCUAUAACUAUAAUCAAUUUCUCAAUCAUACAUUUCAUCAUUUUUAUUAAAAAUUUGAUUUUAUUUUAUCUAAACUUGUUAAGUUCGCAAUUAGUUGGGUCAUUUCAUCUCACCUUUCUAUCCUUAAUUUGAACUUACAAGACAGGUCCAUGGCCACCUCUAUCAGCUUACUCCCUGCCCAGAAUCAUUAAGAGCUGGUUUUGCUGAUUCAUUUUCUUUAAGUUACUUAUUUCAUAUAGCCUGUUUAGUACACAUGCGAUCAAUUAUUGACGAGGCGUUAUAUCCCAAAGUAUGAUUUCUCUGGGUGGAAUUUGUGAUGUCAUUUUAUAGAACUUAUCGUUUUUCUAAUUUCUUCUUUAAUCGAGUGUGAGAGAUUAUCUUUUGAUUUACCACAAGCAGAAGAGUAUUUAAUAGCAUAUUAUCAAACUGACAACACCUCAACACAAACUAAUAUUGUCCAAAUCAAGAGGGAAGGGAGAGUAAACAUGCUAUGCCUCGUCCUACGAAACUCUUGUUAUUUACCAUGUGGAAUUCAUUUAGGAAAUAACAAAAGGUCACUUAACGGUCGCACUCCAAAUCACUUUGCUUACGUGGCCUAAUUAACGGAGACUAUCAAGAAAGGAGGAAGGGAAGUGAACUGUCCCUCAGCUAUCUAACCUCCAUGUCCGAAACGAAGCGCCACGCGCAGUUGCAACGCAUUUUCAAAGUAAAGUGCCUUCGUUCUAGAAGGCAUCUUCCAUUGCUUCGUUCAAAAUAUCAAAAAUGAUUGGUGUAAGGAAUUUUUUUUUUUUUACAGAAUGUGUACAAUCUCUCACAAAGAUAUGGGCCCCACAUGAAUAAAUAAUGUUAAAAAAUUAACUCACCCUCCUCCCCCCACCCCCUAUGUGAGGUGUUGGUAAGGGUUCUACUCUGUACACCUAUCAUCACCCUCAAAAGAUCUUUCAUACAAGAACUUUUGUACAAUUGAUUAUUGAUUGAUUUGACAUUUUUGCGCAGACAUUUCUAAAUUAACUUUUCAGCCUACUUUUUAGAUGAUAGAUCUAGACUAUAAGGUGACCAUUUUUAAGAUCAUCUAAUUCACUUCAACCAUAGGACAGUAGAGGUGAUGAUUGUGAGGCUGAUGCAUUGAUCACCAAGACGAGGACAUGUAUCAUUCAUCCAAUGAUAUUGAUAUCUCAUUUUCUAAUAUAAAGCUCACAAUUGGUAUCAUGUGAUUUACAUGUGAUACUAAUUUACACCCUCCACAUUCACUUAGCUUGGUAAUAUUAUUUCUCUUAAAAUUUGAUUAUUGUACACGUGACUCUUGUUCAUUGUCCAUCCUACAUCCAAAUAUAUCCAUAUAGUUGACUAACUUGAUCGUCGUAGUGUCCGUGAUCGUAUCCCCCACCGCUAGAGAAGGACACAUGCACUUAACGAUAUGUCCAAGUAUGCAGGAGUUUGACACAUUUACAAGAAUGAAAUCGAGAUUUAUUGAUCACGCUGUCCAAAAAAAAAUCGAGGUCAACAAAACAUAUAUCCGCAAAUUGUCUUUUUGAGCCCUAUUUUUAGCAAAGAAUGCAUUUUAGAAUAAUAAAUUGAUAGAUAAUGUGCAGUUAAAAAAUUUAAAAAAAAAGUGUGUGUCCAUUUUGCCUUGGUUUUUCUAUGCAUUUUAGUGAUUGCCUUAGUUUUUUGGACUAUUAUUUUUAAAUUAUUUUUCACUUUAUCGAACCAUUGACACUUAUUUGCAAGACAAAUUUUAAUUUUGUUAAUUUGUUUGAUUAUAAACUUUUUAAGAUGGUUUGUGUAUAUUAUGAGCAUAUUUUCGUAUUUUUAAUUAUUCAAUUAGUUGUAUCUAGGCUUACACCUCAUGUCACAUUGGUAAAAGGGAAAAUUUCAUAAAUAAAAGAUUAAUUAUGCACAUUUUAAAAACAAGAAAACAAGUUUCUAAUUUCAAAAAUCAGAAUUUUAUUGAAAUUUAUUUAUAAUUUAAUUAAUUAAUUUAGAAAUUAAAUAUAUUUAAGUCACAGAUUUAUAUAAUUUGAUCACAAGUUAACGAUUUAAUUCGUCACUUAUUAUUUUUUGAUUACAAAUUAUAAAUUUUAUGUCACAAAUUAUUUUACGGUCACAAUUCAAAAAUUUUAAAGGUCACAAUUUUUUCAUCGAUCACAAAUCGAAAAAUUUAUAAGUCGCGAUUUAUUUAUUGAUCACAAAUCACAUAUACUACAAGUCACAACUUAUUACACACUCACAAAUUAUCAAAUUAUCAGUCAAAUUUUUUAAGUCACACAUUAUUUUUCGAUCACAAUUUAUCUUUUACAUUGAACAUAUAUUAUUUAUUGAUUACAGAUUAACCAAUUUAAUGGUUAUAGUCAACCAAAUAAUUUGUGACCACCACCAACACUUAUGAUUCAUAGUUACAAUUUUUAAGUCAGGUAUCCAAUUUUGAGUCACAGUCAUAAUUUUCGGGUUACAUAUCCAAUUGUGAAUUACAAUUGAGAGUCAUGAUCACAGUAACAAUUUUCAUCGUUACCACGGUCGUCGCCACACACCAAUACCAUAGUUGGGAGUCACAGUCACAGUCCACAACCACCCCAACCGUCCCAAAUCAUCGCCACCACCGUCCCCGCCACACACCAACACCACACUCUUCCAUAUCCAUCACUCUUCCACAUAUGGCCAACAGAUUCACAACACCACACACCUCCACAGAUUGCCACCGUCGUCGCCACACAAACACCUCCACCAGAUCCCUGCCACUUACCAUCACUAUCACCAUUACCGCCACCACCACUACCAUUUGCACCACCACAAGCAUCACCACCACCACCAUCACACUACCAUUUGUAAAAUCAUAUCCACCUACACCCAGCCAAUUAGGAACUCGCAAUCGGUCACCCCAUUCCACCGCAAACAUUCUUCACCUCAUCGACACCCGCUCCUACACAGAUCUGUCAUCCUCAUCAACAAUCCCAUCAACACACCUCGCUGGCCUGCCGCUCCAAUAUUCUUCAAAUCGUCGGCAGCCACUUGCCCAACCAACCACUACACAACGUUGCCACUAGAUCCACCACAACCUGUAGGACCAACUGUAGAGCAACCAUCAUCAUUGACCUCGUCGAAUCCGCUCUCGACCUUCCCAUUGCGAGCUACGACGGCACAGCAAUAGUGAUGUCGCUUCACAUCGUGCACUGCUACUCGUUGUCGCGGCACUCACACAAGAGGAGUUUUUGCAGCAGCAUCCCCGACGGUGACGAUCUGAUGAUAGAGACGAGUGGUGGAGAGUGAUGGGAGAGGAGAUAAUGAUUUGGCCGGCUGCCGAUGUUUGAAAAGUAGAGAGGAAUAGAGAGGGACAAGUAGGCGACCGUAGAGAGGGGGGGAAUGCAAAUUAAUUAGAGUUGGAUAAUUUUGAAUAUUAAUUUUUAAAUAUAUUAAUUAAUUAAAUUUUUUUUAUUUGUGAAAUACUAAACAUGGCAUCUUAUUUAUGAAAUGAGAAUUUUUAAUCUGUUAGAAUCUGUAAUUUCCACUUGGUAAAAUGCUUCUCUACCGAAUUUAGGCUUUUCGAAAAGUUGAAUAUAAUUAUUUAAUACUUUUAUUUCGCACCCAUUUAUCAAUUAAACCUUACCAUAAAUAAAAAUCUCUUGAUUUAGUCUCCUAGCAAUUCAAUUUAUUGAAAACCUACAUAAAAUUGUCAUCUUUCAAAAACUCACAUACUAAACCAACACUUUCCGGAACGAGUUAAGUAAUAGCCAUAAAAGAAGCAACUCUAUGCAAUGUUACGUGUGAAUAUGGUACAUUAUCACAUUGCUCCAAGUAAAUUCACAGCUUGGAAUGGUUGUUAACAAAAUUUAAAGUACAUAAAUUUGUCUUGUCUAUAAUGACUUAAGCUUUACAAUACGAUAGACGACUACUAAUCAACUAUUAUCAGGGCUAUUUGGUGGUGUUGGUACAAAACUACUUAUAUGAGUGACAUCAUGAGUCCAUGCCAUUUUAAAUUAAUAACAUUAUUAUUAUUUUAUUCAUGUGUGAUGGUCUAUUAAUGAGCACCAUUUAUUUUAUAAAUCUUCGCAAGAGCUCUGCUACCUGGAGUGUUGCUUCGUGGACAGGGAUGGGGACAGGGUUUGGGGGACGCCCCCUAUUGGAGGGGUGCCUGUUCCGACGAAGCAACACUUCUGCUACCUAUGCUUAUCUGUAGAGGAAGUUUGACAGUGUCAACUGAUUUGAAUUUCUAAAAUUCAAGUAGACCUGUAUAGAUUAUCUAUACAAGAAGAAUAAUUCACCUUCACAAUUAGAUAGCAGUACUAAGCGGUGACUGAAUAAAACUUACACUUUUCUUAUUAUUACAAAACCAAACACUAUUUAUUUCUUAUUACACUACAAUCUAAUGAUGCCUGAAAACUAGGGUUAGACAAAACUCCCGAACCGAACUGAUCGAACCAAACCUGAACCGAACCCGAUGGUUCUUUUCAAGUUAAAUACCUGAACGGGUAUUUGAAUCAAGAACUGAAGGGUAUGGUUCAGUUCUCGGUUCUAGGCCAAGACCCGAAGAACCGAAUAAAAAUCGAAUCUCCGUACUUUUUUUAAUUAAUUUAUUUUAAAUAAGUAAUAUUAUUUUAUUUUUACUAAAUAAAUUUGUUAACUAGUUAAUUUAAUUCAAACCACAAAAUAUGAUUUUCCUAUUUCUAAUUUUCAGUUCAAAAUAAACUUAAUCAAAUUGACCUCAAUUUUAUCCAAAUCUGUUAUUCUACUGUAGUGUCAUUUCUACCAGAGAAAAUCGAAUUAAAGCUCUACAAUAUCUCUCUUAAUUAUUUUGAGCUCGCUAUCUUUUUCUUUCUGUGAUUUUAAUAAUCAAAUUUAUGAAGAAUUCAGCGAAGAGAGACGUGAAACACAUAAGAUUAAACUACGUAAUUUUGUAAGAGCUAAUAUUGAACAUAUCAUUAAUUAAAUUAACAUAACUUUGUAUAUAUUUAAAAAUUUAAUUAUAAUACGGAACCGAAUGUAACCGAACCGAACCGACCCGAAUGGAACCGAACUCGAACGGUUCCACUUACUAAAUAUCCGAAUAUUUCAGAUCAGUUCGAUUCUCAUUAGAACGGAACUGAACCGGACCAUGUCUAGCCCUACUGAAAACCAGCUAUGGUUAGAAAUAACAUUUAGUUGCAAACUUUUCUAUGGACUGAAACACCUGGGCUUUCACUCAUGUCCAAAUCCUCUCCUUUUGCUCCAUUAGGCAAUUCCCAAUUAUAUUUUAGAAUAAUAUUUGCCAACACAAGUUCGUUAGUUGCCAUUGUGUAAGAGAUCCUUAGACAACCUCUCCGACCAGCCCCAAAAGGGAUCAACUGGAAAUCGAGUCCUUCGAUAUCUUUCUGUGAAUUCAAGAAUCUCUCUGGCCGACGCUUUUUUGGUUCGUCCCAGUAAUUAGGGGCUAGGGAAAUGACCCAUGCAUUGGUCAUGACCAUCGUCCCUACUGCAAUGUCAUAGCCCAUUACAUUGACAUCUUUUCUUGUUUCCCGAGCAAUCACUAAUGGGAUUGUGGUGUGGAAUCGUAGAGUUUCCUUCACUACACUUUCAAAUAAUGCAUUUUUCUAAGUCAGCAUUUGUUAUGUACUGAGAACUCCCCUCACCUUGGUUUGCAACUUUUUCAUGACUCUUGGGUGCCUGAAGAGCUCUGUCAUUUCCCAUUCUAGAACUACGGAUAAAGGGAUUUGUUCCAGGGCAAAGACAUCCUAAAAUAAUCAAGAACGUUGAAAAAUGUAAUCUCUUAAUAUUUAACAUAAAGUUCAUAGCUUUCAAGCAUUUGCACCAAUUUUUUUUGCAGCUAAUUAUAAACAAAUCGUUCUUUAGUACUAUAAUAUUCUUUACCCGAAACAACACUUCAGCGAUUAAAUUAACUAAAAACCCACAAAAGAAGUAACCCAAUACAAUUUAAACUCACAAUAACUUCCAAUUUCAUAAGACCCAUCAAAUAUUACACACGCCCGAAUGAUAAAAUUUUAUGUAUAUGAAUAUAAAAGGAGGCAUAAUUACCUGCUGGGCCUUCAAAAUGGGAAUGGAGAUUUUCCUAUUGGGAAUUUGACGGGUCAUUAGGGUCUGUGUAGAUUUUUUGAGAAAUUGUUGAGAAGAUAAUCUGGGUUUUGCAGUUGAAGACGAUGAUAAUACAUUCAAACUUUCCAAGUACGUAAAAUCUAUCCCGGAACUGAAACUGAAAUUCACUACAUGUGAGUCUGUGUGUGUGUGUGCGCGUGGAGACUGUGACGAAUUUUAAAAAUCAUUUCCUCGAUCAAGAUUUUAAUGGAAAAUUUAGGUGUUCAUUGAGAUUUUAAUUAAAUUUAAUGUAUAGUCAAUCAUUAGUGAAUUUAUAAAGAUUUUAUUAAUAGAGGGAUUUUAAAAGAUUUUGAUGGAUUUCAAACUUAAAAAUAUAUAAUCAAAUCUUUUGAAAUUUCAUCAUAUUUAUUGAGAUUCUUAUGAAAUUUGUGGAAAUCUAUUUAAAUUAACAAAAUUCAUUAGAAUUAUAAGUUUUUAAAAUUCAUCAUCAUCUUAGUUGAGGACACCCCGUUAUAGUUAGAGGGACGAAAUGAAGACUAUUUUUCUUAUGGCAGCAAUAGGGUGGUGUCAAUGCAUUACAGUCCCAUUGGUCCAAAAAUUAUGGCAAGGAAUCAAAGUUUUGGUAAAAAACCAGUCGAGAAAAGGUUAGGACAAGAUCACAAGUUUAGGCAAAGGAUAGAGACCUAAUUUGCAAUUUAUGCUAAACAAAACUUUUCUUGAAUUAUUGGGUCAUGAUUUAGCUGCAGAGUGCUUCUUUUCUUUUUCUCCCUCUCUCUUCACUAUUUCACCGAGGGUUCAAACCCUUGGUUAAAGUCUUACCUCUACUAAUUUAUAAGAAAAUUGUUGCAUCCAGUGAAUAUGUUGAACACCAAAUGAAGCCCAUGUUUGGUUUGGGUAAAAAUUGAUUGUUUUAGUAGAAUUUUAUAAAGAUUGAUGAAAUGCGUGAUUGAAAAUCUGAUUAAAGUGAUGAGCAUCACAAAAUCUGUGAAUAAAAAUGAAUUUGACUAAAAAGCAACUAUCUCUUGUAUAGAUCAUGUAUUGAUAUACUAUAACUAUAAGAUACUCCAUUUUCGUGAAUUACUUCGUUUAUCCGAGUGAUCCACAAAUGAUGAAAAUUUCUCUUUUUUUUAUCCAUAUCUCGGUGAGCCGAAACCAAAGCUCUUGUUUUUUGUUGAGUGAUAGUUGGAGUAAGUUUCAAAUGAGCCCUCGAAAUUAAGCUUGAUGCAAAUAAACGAAUUUUUGUUCUCUGUAUCUAAGCUAUAUAUCAGCGUAUAAUUCUGGUCAUUAAUAAAUGUUAAAAAUUUGGACCCAAACAAGUGCUAAAACACAUGAUUCAGUAAGUUAAACAAGAAAUAAUCGGAGUCUCACAUCGCUCAUUGAGUGCCGCCGACAGCCAGGAAUCACUAUUUGGCUUAACUCUCACUAUUGUCAGGGUUGCUUUGGAAUGGCAUUCGACAACUAGUUAAUUUUAUAACUAUAUGCAUGUUUAUUUGCAUAAUAUAAAAGUCUAUUCUGAUGAAUUAUAUAUUUUAUAAAUUUUCAAUGUAAUAUUAAGUAAUAAUGGAGUAAAAGUGAUUACAUUGUCCUAAUUAAAGAACAAAACACAAUAUUAUUUUUUACUUGUAAACUAUAAUACAUCGCAAUACGAUACAAAUAUUCAAUCCCAACAUAAAAACGAUGGUUCCCCAAUUUAUUUACUUGUGCGAGUGCGUGCGGGGGUGUGUAAAAAGCAUAAAGAAUUAUGAAUGUUUAAUUUGUGGUAGAAACUGCUGUUUCCAUCACGCUGCAUGAAACUCAUAUGGAUUAGAGAUAGCAUUGAGUCACAACAGCAAAAAGAGGAACUUUUCUAUGGAUUGAAAAUCCUCUCCUUUUGCUCCAUUAGGCAAUUCCCAGUCAAAUUUCUGAACAAUAUUUGCCAGAACGAGUUCGUUAGUUGCCAUUGCGAAUGAGAUUCCUGGACAACCUCUUCGAUCAGCCCCAAACGGGAUCAACUGGAAAUCGAGUCCUUUGAAAUCUAUGGACAAAUUUAAGAAUCUCUCCGGCUGAAACUUCUGUGGUUCUUUCCGGUAAAGAGGGUCUUGGCCAAUGGCCCAUGCAUUGGUCAUUGUUGGAAUUAAUUGAAUUUGAUUUGAGUUUGAUUUGGGUUUAAAAUAUUAAAUGUAAUAUUUAAUGAUGUGGGCCAUUGCAAUUAAUUUGGGUGAAUUGGAAAAGUCUCCAAUAUAGGCCCAUAUGUUGAUAAGCCCAUUUUAAGUGUUUUUUAUAUGGAAACGAGUCUCACAUCGAAAGUUUACAAAAAAAUAGUCUUGUUUAUAUAGUGGGUUGUGUGAAUAAUAUAUAAUUUAAUAAGUUACCUACAACUUGGCUAAC